UCUGGCUCAAUUACCUACAGCUUUGGCUUUAAGAAUUUCUGUCAACCUGUACUUCUUAUAAUCCUAUUCCUAAUCACUGGGGACUCCCAAUCGACUGAUAUAAUUUUGGUAACAUGUUGGUGUCUGUCCCAUAGGUAAAAGAGAACCAAAAUUAACAGCCAGUGUUUAUUUCCAUGUUGUUGCCAUUUGUGUUUUGCGGGGUGAGAGGGCUGGCUAGAGAAGCAAUAUUUUCACACUGUCAAAAGGAUGACCCUAACUAAAGAAAAAAGUCAUUAAAUAUCCUAAAGUUUGACUUUACUUCUCAACACUAAUGACCAAGGAACUGGGCACAGAAUGACAAUCACUGGUCAUGUGACAUCAACAAACAGGAAGUGGAUAUGCUGACCCUGCACUGAAAUGCUUUAUUUUCAAGAAAUAUGGAUAUGUAAAGGAAAGUGGGGCUGCGUUAAAGCAGAGAGAAAGAGGCAGACUGCCCAGCUUCGACGUGGCAGGGUGACGUUGCAAAACCUGCAGCAGACAAACCCCAGAGACUGGCUGGGAAGCAAGUACAGAGAGACAAAGAAUGGGAGGGGAAGAGCACGGAAGAUGGACUCCACUUUUGUUCAGGGCGGUCAGCUGAAAGCUGGCGAGGCGAGCCAUCUGUGAUGCAGCAGCAGCGGACAUGUCCAUGCACGUCCACGCAUUUUUAAAAUUAGGUGAUAUGUACAGACACCAAACAAAUAUUUUGAGUUUACAUAGCUAACUUCUGGCCUAGAGACCUUUUCAUAGUUACUUUUAUGUCACAGAGAAGUGUAUCAUAUCCAGCUUUUCACUACUCUCCACCAUUGCGGUUUCCAUUUUCUUUAAUCCACAAGGAAUCAUGGGACAGGGUGGGCCACCGGACCCAUCCCUCAAAUCAGGGGAAAAAAAGGCACAUUUAUCAGCUGCAUUAAAAGGAGCGUCAGCGCAUUAAUUCUCCUUAGCGGUACCUGACCAAACUCUAAGCUCCUUGCAAUUCCUUGAAGCUCUUGUCCUCUGACUAACGUCAGUUUCCUUAUUCCCCCAAGAUACUCUCCUGUAGGGAACCUGACCUGGACCGCUCUCAUUGUCCUCCUCUGAUGAUCCAUGGUGUCAGUUUCAGUUCUGAAUCCCAAGAGCCUUCCGGCACUCCUGUCCAUCACUCCUCCAUCACCACUUGGCGUCCUCGCCGACCUCCACCUGCCUAUUCACCCUCCAACAUACUCUACCACUUUCUGUACCUUUCCCAAUAUCUACAUUCUCUGAAAGUCAGACUCUGCUAGCACUAUCACACUCUCCUGCUUGUUGUCGGUGCUCAGUCUGGUCUCCUUUCUCUCCACAGUAAAUAACCAGAGCCUUCCCAGUCGCCGUGCUAUCUGUUCCCAGUUUCCCCCCGUUACCAUAACUCACACGACUCAAUAAAACUCUUAAACUGAUUGCCUGCCUCUGUGUUUGUUGCUUUCAGGGUCAACAUGGAAAAACAAGAUCUGACAGGCAAAUUGGUUCAUUCCAAAGAUCUGGUCCUACAGCACAAUCAGAAUAAUGCUGUG